GAUGAAGAACGCAGCAAAAUGCGAUAAGUAAUGUGAAUUGCAGAAUUCAGUGAAUCAUCGAAUCUUUGAACGCACAUUGCGCCCGCUGGUAUUCCGGCGGGCAUGCCUGUCCGAGCGUCAUUUCAACCCUCAGGGCCCGCCUGCUUCGGCAGGCGCGGCGCUGGUGUUGGGGAUCGGCCUAACCGCCGUCCCCCAAAUACAGUGGCGGUCUCGCUGCAGCCUCCCCUGCGUAGUAGCAACACUCGCAUGCGGAGCGCGGCGCGGCCACGCCGUAAAACCCCCGACUUUCUGAACGUUGACCUCGGAUCAGGUAGGAAUACCCGCUGAACUUAAGCAUAUCAAUAAGCGGAGGA
rnacentral:misc_RNA from 1 species